rnacentral:rRNA from 1 species
CCUACGGGCGGCAGCAGUGGGGAAUAUUGGACAAUGGGCGAAAGCCUGAUCCAGCCAUGCCGCGUGUGUGAAGAAGGCCUUCGGGUUGUAAAGCACUUUCAGUGGGGAAGAAAGCCUUGGGGCUAAUACCCUCGAGGAAGGACAUCACCCACAGAAGAAGCACCGGCUAACUCCGUGCCAGCAGCCGCGGUAAUACGGAGGUUGCGAGCGUUAAUCGGAAUUACUGGGCGUAAAGCGCGCGUAGGCGGUCUGAUAAGCCGGUUGUGAAAGCCCGGGGCUCAACCUGGGAACGGCAUCCGGAACUGUCAGGCUAGAGUGCAGGAGAGGAAGGUAGAAUUCCCGGUGUAGCGGUGAAAUGCGUAGAGAUCGGGAGGAAUACCAGUGGCGAAGGCGGCCUUCUGGACUGACACUGACGCUGAGGUGCGAAAGCGUGGGUAGCAAACAGGAUUAGAUACCCGGGUAGUC